rnacentral:rRNA from 1 species
UACCUUUUGUAUAAUGGGUCAGCGACUUAUAUUCUGUAGCAAGGUUAACCGAAUAGGGGAGCCGGAGGGAAACCGAGUCUUAAUUGGGCGUUAAGUUGCAGGGUAUAGACCCGAAACCCGGUGAUCUAGCCAUGGGCAGGUUGAAGGUUGGGUAACACUAACUGGAGGACCGAACCGACUAAUGUUGAAAAAUUAGCGGAUGACCUGUGGCUGGGGGUGAAAGGCCAAUCAAACCGGGAGAUAGCUGGUUCUCCCCGAAAGCUAUUUAGGUAGCGCCUCGUGAAUUCAUCUCCGGGGGUAGAGCACUGUUUCGGCUAGGGGGCCAUCCCGGCUUACCAACCCGAUGCAAACUGCGAAUACCGGAGAAUGUUAUCACGGGAGACACACGGCGGGUGCUAACGUCCGUCGUGAAGAGGGAAACAACCCAGACCGCCAGCUAAGGUCCCAAAGUCAUGGUUAAGUGGGAAACGAUGUGGGAAGGCCCAGACAGCCAGGAUGUUGGCUUAGAAGCAGCCAUCAUUUAAAGAAAGCGUAAUAGCUCACUGGUCGAGUCGGCCUGCGCGGAAGAUGUAACGGGGCUAAACCAUGCACCGAAGCUGCGGCAGCGAACGUAUCACCCAAGACAACUUUACGGAGUUGACGAUUGACGGAGCGAAGCGACGUCAAAGCGUUCAUUAAAGUCGAGUUGGCUUAGGGAUACGUUCGUUGGGUAGGGGAGCGUUCUGUAAGCCUGUGAAGGUGUGUCGUGAGGCAUGCUGGAGGUAUCAGAAGUGCGAAUGCUGACAUAAGUAACGAUAAAGCGGGUGAAAAGCCCGCUCGCCGGAAGACCAAGGGUUCCUGUCCAACGUUAAUCGGGGCAGGGUGAGUCGACCCCUAAGGCGAGGCCGAAAGGCGUAGUCGAUGGGAAACGGGUUAAUAUUCCCGUACUUGGUGUUACUGCGAAGGGGGGACGGAGAAGGCUAUGUUGGCCGGGCGACGGUUGUCCCGGUUUAAGCGUGUAGGUGUGUGUUCCAGGUAAAUCCGGUU